rnacentral:rRNA from 1 species
CAGGAUGAACGCUGGCGGCGUGCUUAACACAUGCAAGUCGAACGAAGCAGUUAUACGAUCCCUCGGGGUGACGAUUACUGACUGAGUGGCGGACGGGUGAGUAACGCGUGGGUAACCUGCCUUGUACAGGGGGGACAACAGUUGGAAACGACUGCUAAUACCGCAUAAGCGCACAGCUUCGCAUGAAGCAGUGUGAAAAGUUUUUUCGGUACAAGAUGGACCCGCGUCUGAUUAGCUAGGUUGGUGAGGUAACGGCCCACCAAGGCGACGAUCAGUAGCCGACCUGAGAGGGUGACCGGCCACAUUGGGACUGAGACACGGCCCAAACUCCUACGGGAGGCAGCAGUGGGGAAUAUUGCACAAUGGGCGAAAGCCUGAUGCAGCCGACGCCGCGUGAGCGAAGAAGUAUUUCGGUAUGUAAAGCUCUAUCAGCAGGGAAGAUAAUGACGGUACCUGACUAAGAAGCACCGGCUAAAUACGUGCCAGCCGCCGC